rnacentral:rRNA from 1 species
CCUACGGGAGGCAGCAGUAGGGAAUCUUCUUCAAUGUUUUCAACCCUUACCUAUCAACUCCUCUUUAUUUAAUAAUUUUUUCUUAUCUUAAAUCUCUUUUUUAAUAUAAUAACUUGUGUGAGAGUGGAAAGUUCACACAGUGACGGUAACUGACCAGAAAGGGACGGCUAACUACGUGCCAGCAGCCGCGGUAAUACGUAGGUCCCGAGCGUUAUCUGGAUUUAUUGGGCGUAAAUCGAGCGCAUGCGG